CGACCCCAGGUCAGGCGGGAUCACCCGCUGAGUUUAAGCAUAUCAAUAAGCGGAGGAAAGGACACUAACAAGGAUUCCCUUAGUAACGGCAAGCGACCCGGGAAGAACCCAACUUGAAAAUCGUACGUCUUUGGCGUUUGAAUUGUUGUAUGGAGAAGCGUACUCAGCGACGGACCAGGCCCAAGUUCCCUGGAAAGGGGCGCCAGAGAGGGUGAGAGCCCCGUCGUGCCCGGACCCUGUCGCACCACGAGGCGCUAUCUACGAGUUGGGUUGUUUGGGAAUGCAGCCCCAAUCGGGCGGUAAAUUCCGUCCAAGGCUAAAUAUGGGCGAGAGACCGAUAGCGAACAAGUACCGCGAGGUAAAGAUGAAAAGGACUUUGAAAAGAGAGUCAAAGAGUGCUUGAAAUUGUCGGAAGGUAAGCGGAUGGGGGCCGGUGAUUCAUCCCGGUCGGAUGCGGAACGGAGCAAUACGGUCCGCUGAUCGAUUCGGGCCGUGGACCAACGCGGAUUAAGGUGGUGACCUAAGCCUGGGCUUUUGUUAUGCCCGCGGAGACGUUGCUGCCUUAAUUGUGGUCUGCAGCACGUGCCUCACGGCGUGCCUCGGCAUCUGUGUGCUCAGGGCAUCGGCCUGUGGGCUCCCCAUUCGACCUGUCUUGAAACACGGACCAAGGAAUCUGACAUGUGUGCGAGUCAACGGGUGAGUAAACCCAUAAGGCGCAAGGAAGCUGAUUGGCUGGAUCCCUCAUCGGUGCACAGCCAACUGACCUUGAUCUUCUGAGAUGGGUUCGAGUGUGAGCAAGCCUGUCGGGACUCGAAAGAUGGUGAACUAUGCCUGAGCAGGGCAAAGCCAGAGGAAACUCUGGUGGAGGCCCGCAGCGUUAAUGACGUGCAAAUCGUUCGCCUGACUUGGGUAUAGGGGCGAAGGACUAAUCGAACCAUCUAGUAGCUGGUUCCCUCCGAAGUUCCCCUCAGGAUAGCUGGAGCUCGAAAACGAGUUAUAUCGGGUAAAGCCAAUGAUUAGAGGCAUCGGGGACGCAAUGUCCUCCACCUAUUCUCAAACUUUAAAUAGGUAGGACGGGGUGGCUGCUUUGUUGAGCCAUCCCACGGAAUCGGGAGCUCCAAGUGGGCCAUUUUGGGUAAGCAGAACUGGCGAUGCGGGAUGAACCGGAAGCUGGGUUACGGUGCCCAACUGCACGCUAACCUAGAACCCACAAAGGGUAUUGGUCCAUUAAGACCGCAGGACGGUGGUCAUGGAUGUCGAAAUCCGCUAAGGAAUGUGUAACAACUAACAUGCCGAAUCAACUAGCCCCGAAAAUGGAUGGCGCUGAAGCGUGCGACCUAUACCCGGCCAUCGGGGCAAGAGACAGGCCUCGAUGAGUAGGAGGGCGCGGCGGUCGCUGCAAAAACUAGGGCGCGAGCCCGGGCGGAGCGGCCGUCAGUGCAGAUCUUGGUGGUAGUAGUAAAUAUUCAAAUGAGAACUUUGAAGGCGGAAGAGGGGAAAGGUUCCAUGUGAACGGCACCUGCACAUGGGUUAGUCAAUCCUAAGAGUCGGGGGAAAACCGUCUGAUAGCGCUUAUGUGCAAACUUCGAAAGGGGAUCCGGUUAAAAUUCCAGAACCGGGACGUGGCGGUUGACGGCAACGUAAGGAAGUCCAGAGACGUCGGCGGGAAUUCCGGAAAAAAGUUAUCUUUUUUGUUUAAAAGCCUGCCCACCCUGGAAACGGCUCAGCCGGAGGUAGGGUCCAGCACCUGGAAGAGCACCGCACGUCGCGUGGUGUCCGGUGCAUUCCCGGCUCUGACACCCCCCGAUCGUAGAUGACCUGAACUGACAUGGUCGAUGUUCCUCGAUUGUCGAUCUGAGGUUCUCAGAAUACUUCUGAUCGCCUUAGA
rnacentral:ncRNA from 1 species